rnacentral:rRNA from 1 species
CCUACGGGAGACAGCAGUGAGGAAUAUUGGUCAAUGGUCGGGAGACUGAACCAGCCAAGCCGCGUGAGGGAUGAAGGUACAGAGUAUCGUAAACCUCUUUUGUCAGGGAAUAAAGGCAGGGACGUGUCCACGGAUGCAUGUACCUGAAGAAUAAGCAUCGGCUAACUCCGUGCCAGCAGCCGCGGUAAUACGGAGGAUGCGAGCGUUAUCCGGAUUUACUGGGUGUAAAGGGGGCGCAGACUGCAAUGCAAGUCAGGAGUGAAAGCCCGGGGCCCAACCCUGGGACUGCUGUUGAAACUGCAUGGCUUGAGUACAGUAGGGGCAGGCGGAAUUCCUAGUGUAGCGGUGAAAUGCGUAGAUAUUAGGAGGAACACCGAUUGCGAAGGCGGCCUGCUGGGCUAUAACUGACGUUGAGGCCCGAAGGCGUGGGGAGCAAACAGGAUUAGAUACCCGAGUAGUC